GGUCCUCGGCCUGUUUCAGAGCCCAGAGCACCCAAUCGGAUGUUAAAGAGUUUCAAGUCUAGUGAAGAAGGUUGAUGUUCACACAACUACCUCUAGAAGAAUGCAGAGUGUGGUUUCAACGUUAGUAAAUGGAGCCUGCUUGAUAGAGAAAGGAAGAGCAUUCCAGGGGAAGAGUGACUAGAACACCGUCUGGCAUAGUAGAUGCACAAGAAAUAUUGUGGAAUGACUUGUGACCUCCACGGACAGGACUGGAGAAAGAGAAGAGAAGCAGUAUGAGAAAACCAGACAGGAUGGAAAGCUAAACAUAGUGAGGACCAUGUUGACAUUGCCCUUACUACAGGACAAGGUAAUGCUAAUGACUCUCAAUGCCUAAGUCACGCUAUCCAUUAUUAGCUUCUAGUCACACACAAGGCUACAGAGAAUGUGCAAUGUGGCUAGUGCAAAUUAAGAUGUUCAGUAAGCAUCAAAUACACACUAGGUUUCAAAACUUAGCAGAAAGAAAACAAGAAUGUAAAAUAUCAAAUUAAUAAUUUCAGUGUGGGGCGCCUGGGUGGCUCGGUAGGUUAAGCAUCCAGCUUCGGCUCAGGUCAUGAUCUCACGU